rnacentral:rRNA from 1 species
GAUGAACGCUGGCGGCGUGCCUAAUACAUGCAAGUCGAGCGAACAGACGAGGAGCUUGCUCCUCUGACGUUAGCGGCGGACGGGUGAGUAAGACGUGGAUAACCUACCUAUAAGACUGGGAUAAAUUCGGGAAAACGGAGCUAAUAACGGAUAAUAUAUUGAACCGCAUGGUUCAAUAGUGAAAGACGGUUUUGCUGUCACUUAUAGAUGGAUCCGCGCCGGAUUAGCUAGUUGGUAAGGUAACGGCUUACCAAGGCAACGAUGCGUAGCCGACCUGAGAGGGUGAUCGGCCACACUGGAACUGAGACACGGUCCAGACUCCUACGGGAGGCAGCAGUAGGGAAUCUUCCGCAAUGGGCGAAAGCCUGACGGAGCAACGCCGCGUGAGUGAUGAAGGUCUUCGGAUCGUAAAACUCUGUUAUUAGGGAAGAACAAAUGUGUAAGUAACUAUGCACGUCUUGACGGUACCUAAUCAGAAAGCCACGGCUAACUACGUG